rnacentral:rRNA from 1 species
UAGUCCACGCCGUAAACGAUGUUCACUCGCUGUCUGCGAUACACAGUAGGCGGCUGAGCGAAAGCAUUAAGUGAACCACCUGGGGAGUACGACCGCAAGGUUGAAACUCAAAGGAAUUGACGGGGGGCCCGCACAAGCGGUGGAACAUGUGGUUUAAUUCGAUGAUACGCGAGGAACCUUACCUGGGCUUAAAUGCAUUUUGUAUUCCCGAGAAAUCGGGAUUCCCUUCGGGGCUAUUUGCAAGGUGCUGCAUGGUUGUCGUCAGCUCGUGCCGUGAGGUGUCGGGUUAAGUCCCAUAACGAGCGCAACCCCUACCGUUAGUUGCCAUCGGGUCAAGCCGGGGACUCUAGCGGGACUGCCACCGUAAGGUGAGAGGAAGGUGGGGAUGACGUCAAAUCAGCACGGCCCUUAUGCCCAGGGGCUACACGCGUGUUACAAUGGGCCGGUACAAAGGGGCAGGCUACACAGCGAUGUGAUGCUAAUCU